rnacentral:rRNA from 1 species
AUUGAACGCUGGCGGCAUGCCUUACACAUGCAAGUCGAACGGCAGCACGGGAGCAAUCCUGGUGGCGAGUGGCGAACGGGUGAGUAACAUAUCGGAACGUAUCCAAUAAUGGGGGAUAACUAAUCGAAAGGUUGGCUAAUACCGCAUACGCCCUACGGGGGAAAGCUAGGGACCUUCGGGCCUGGCGUUAAUGGAGCGGCCGAUAUCUGAUUAGCUAGUUGGUGGGGUAAAGGCCCACCAAGGCGACGAUCAGUAGCUGGUCUGAGAGGACGACCAGCCACACUGGAACUGAGACACGGUCCAGACUCCUACGGGAGGCAGCAGUGGGGAAUUUCGGACAAUGGGCGCAAGCCUGAUCCAGCCAUGCCGCGUGUCUGAAGAAGGCCUUCGGGUUGUAAAGGACUUUUGUCCGGGAGCAAAUGCUGGUGGCUAACAUCCACCGGAGCUGAGAGUACCGGAAGAAUAAGCACCGGCUAACUACGUGCCAGCCGCCGCGGUAA